rnacentral:rRNA from 1 species
GGGGAAUUUUGGACAAUGGGCGCAAGCCUGAUCCAGCCAUGCCGCGUGCGGGAAGAAGGCCUUCGGGUUGUAAACCGCUUUUGUCAGGGAAGAAAUCUUCUGAGUUAAUACCUCGGGGAGGAUGACGGUACCUGAAGAAUAAGCACCGGCUAACUACGUGCCAGCAGCCGCGGUAAUACGUAGGGUGCAAGCGUUAAUCGGAAUACUGGGCGUAAAGCGUGCGCAGGCGGUUUUGUAAGACAGAGGUGAAAUCCCCGGGCUCAACCCUGGGGAACUGCCUUUGUGACUGCAAGGCUUGAGUGCGGCAGAGGGGGGAUGGAAUUCCGCGUGUAGCAGUGAAAUGCGUAGAUAUGCGGAGGAACACCGAU